GAGUUUGAUCCUGGCUCAGAAUCAACGCUGGCGGCAUGCCUUACACAUGCAAGUCGAACGGCAGCACGGGCUUCGGCCUGGUGGCGAGUGGCGAACGGGUGAGUAAUACAUCGGAACGUGCCCUGUUGUGGGGGAUAACCAGUCGAAAGAUUGGCUAAUACCGCAUACGACCUGAGGGUGAAAGCGGGGGACCGCAAGGCCUCGCGCAGCAGGAGCGGCCAAUGUCUGAUUAGCUAGUUGGUGGGGUAAAGGCCCACCAAGGCGACGAUCAGUAGCUGGUCUGAGAGGACGAUCAGCCACACUGGGACUGAGACACGGCCCAGACUCCUACGGGAGGCAGCAGUGGGGAAUUUUGGACAAUGGGGGCAACCCUGGUCCAGCAAUGCCGCGUGUGUGAAGAAGGCCUCGG
rnacentral:rRNA from 1 species